rnacentral:rRNA from 1 species
GACGAACGCUAGCGGGAUGCUUUACACAUGCACGUAGAACGAGUGGCGGACGGGUGAGUAAUAUAUCGGAACGUGCCCAGUAGCGGGGGAUAACUACUCGAAAGAGUGGCUAAUACCGACUACUAUUGGAGAGACCGCUCUCGGAUUAGCUAGUUGGUGGGGUAAAGGCUCACCAAGGCAAAGCUCCGUAGCUGGUUUGAGAGGACGACCAGCCACACUGGGACUGAGACACGGCCCAGACGCCUACGGGAGGCAGCAGUGGGGAAUUUUGGACAAUGGGGGAAACCCUGAUCCAGCCAUCCCGCGUGUAUGAGAAGGCCUUCGGGUUGUAAAGUACUUUUGGCAGAGAAGCGGUAUCUGCAGAAUAAGCACCGGCUAACUACGUGCCAGCAGCCGCGGUAAUUC